rnacentral:rRNA from 1 species
GACGAACGCUGGCGGCGUGCUUAACACAUGCCAGUCGAACGGAAAGGCCCUGCUUUUGUGGGGUGCUCGAGUGGCGAACGGGUGAGUAACACGUGAGUAACCUGCCCUUGACUUUGGGAUAACUUCAGGAAACUGGGGCUAAUACCGGAUAGGAGCUCCUGCUGCAUGGUGGGGGUUGGAAAGUUUCGGCGGGUGGGGAUGGACUCGCGGCUUAUCAGCUUGUUGGUGGGGUAGUGGCUUACCAAGGCUUUGACGGGUAGCCGGCCUGAGAGGGUGACCGGCCCCAUUGGGACUGGGGUACGGCCCGGACUCCUACGGGAGGCAGCAGUGGGGAAUAUUGCACAAUGGGCGGAAGCCUGAUGCAGCAACGCCGCGUGCGGGAUGACGGCCUUCGGGUUGUAAACCGCUUUCGCCUGUGACGAAGCGUGAGUGACGGUAAUGUGUAAAGAAGCACCGGCUAACUACGUG